rnacentral:rRNA from 1 species
AAUUUUCCGCAAUGGGCGAAAGCCUGACGGACCAAUACCGCGUGAGGGAGGAAGGCUCUUGGGUUGUAAACCUCUUUUCUCAGGGAAGAAAAAAAUGACGGUACCUGAGGAAUAACCAUCGGCUAACUCCGUGCCAGCAGCCGCGGUUUAUACGGAGGAUGCAAGCGUUAUCCGGAAUGAUUGGGCGUAAAGGGUCCGCAGGUGGCAAUGAAAGUCUGCUGUUAAAGAGUUUGGCUCAACCAAAUAAAAGCAGUGGAAAGGUACAAAGCUAGAGUUUGGUCGGGCAGAGGGGAAUUCCUGGUGUAGCGGUGAAAUGCGUAGAUAUCAGGAAGAACACCAGUGGCGAAGGCGCCUCUGCUAGGCCGAGACUGACACUGAGGGACGAAAGCUAGGGGAGCGAAUGGGAUUAAAUACCCCAGUAGUCCUAGCCGUAAACGAUGGAUACUAGGCGUAGCUCGUAUCGACCCGAGCUGUGCCGGAGCUAACGCGUUAAGUAUCCCGCCUGGGGUUGUACGCAGGCAACUGUGAAACUCAAAGGAAUUUGACGGGGGCCCGCACAAGGGUGGAGUAUGUGGUUUAAUUCGAUGCAACGCGAAGAACCUUACCAAGGCUUGACAUGUCACGAAUUCUGUGGAAACAUAGGAGUGCCUUAGCGAGCGUGAACACAGGUGGUGCAUGGCUGUCGUCAGCUCGUCUCGUGAGAUGUUGGUUUAAGUCCCGCAACGAGCCCAACCGGCGUUUUUAAGUUGCCAGCAUUAAGGUUGGGCCACUCCUAGAGAGACCUGCCGGUGACAAUCCGGAGGAAUGGUGGGGGAUGACGUCAAGUCAGCAUGCCCCAUUACGUCUUGGGGCUACACACGUACCUACAAUGCUACGGGACAAAGGGCAGCUACACAUCCGAUGUGAUGCGAAUCUCAUAAACCGUAGCUCAGUUCAGAUCGAAGGUUGCAACUCGCCUUCCUUGAAAGAGGAAUCCUUUAGUAAUUGCAGGUCAGCCUCCUGCAGUGAAUUCUUUCCCAGGCCUUGGUACACCCGCCGGUCCAACCAAGGAAUUUGUUCACCCCCGAAUUCGUUCCCCCACCCAAAGUGGGGGGUAUCUCC